CCUACGGGAGGCAGCAGUGGGGAAUAUUGGACAAUGGAGGCAACUCUGAUCCAGCAAUGCCGCGUGUGUGAUGAAGGCCCUAGGGUUGUAAAGCACUUUCAACGGUGAAGAUGAUGACGGUAGCCGUAGAAGAAGCCCCGGCUAACUUCGUGCCAGCAGCCGCGGUAAU
rnacentral:rRNA from 1 species